AAAAAAAAGGGAUUUGUACUUCAUACACAGCCUUUCUCAAAAUAGGCCUAGGAGUUGGUGUAACUGACUGAAGAGAUCAAUGCUUUACUGCAAUAAAAAUGGGAAACACCAGGUUCUAUAAUCUUCUGAUUAAAAUGCUCUACUUGUAAAAAGUUUAACAAUCAAGAGUUCCAAUCUGGACCAUAUGCUUACAAUCAACCAUGACGUCAGUUUUUUUAUUUUUUAUUUUU
rnacentral:misc_RNA from 1 species